rnacentral:rRNA from 1 species
UACGGGGGGGGUAAGCGUUGUUCGGAAUUACUGGGCGUAAAGGGCUCGUAGGCGGCCAACUAAGUCAUACGUGAAAUCCCUCAGCUUAACUGGGGAACUGCGUGUGAUACUGGAUGGCUUGGAUUUGGGAGAGGGAUGCGGAAUUCCAGGUGUAGCGGUGAAAUGCGUAGAUAUCUGGAGGAACACCGGUGGCGAAGGCGACAUCCUGGACCGGUAUUGACGCUGAGGCGCGAAAAGCCAGGGGAGCAAACGGG